rnacentral:rRNA from 1 species
UUAUGCUCACCAUCGCGACCCCAGUCAGGCGGGAUUACCCUCUGA